CCCUCUUUUCCUCAAUUCAUCCCAAAAAGUUCUUAUAAAGUUCUCUCUUUCCCCUUCCCCUCUAUACCCCCUGUGUGCAUCGUUUUGGUUCUUGUGUUGCUGAUUCUCUUCUCUCCUUCAAUACAGCCUUCACAACGAUGUCAGCCGCUCCUUCAACUUCCAUGAACACUCGAAGGGAAACAUGUAUUCCACCAAGGAGAGGAAAAAUAAAAGCUCGGAUUUUUAAGAGGUUCUGCAAGGCUAUUGCUUCCGCGGCGUCAAAAGCAUUUGGCGGAAGCAGAGAAGAUGGCAAUGACUCAACCAUUCCACCUUCGAGUGCCUAUAACUCUGAUGCAAAUUUCGACCUUUCCUGAAGAAUUCCAAAUGGGUUGAUAACAAAUUUCACCUAUUAUUUCCUUAAUCACUCAAUUCUUGAAAUUGAGCUCGUUUCAUUGCCAUGAAAACGCUCUUCUCCAUGGUACUUAUUAUAACCAGAGAAGGUAAUAUCUAUACAAUAAGAAAAGAUCUGUGGAUUCUGAUGUUUUUGAUUCAGAUCACAGCUUCUUUUAUAUUAAGAUGGGUUGUGAUAGAAAUUGGGGUUAUCUGCUGCAUAACUCAGGUUUUUAGUGAGUUACAGCAGGAGUUUUAUGCUUUGUUUUUCAAGUCAGUUUGUUGUUUAAAUUUUAAUUUCUGCUGUAGAAAAAAGACCUGCUUCACUGUUGUUUCUGUAAGUUUUUGCGUGCAGAUGAUAGUGUAGAGGAAGGUCCAUGGCUGUAUUAUGUGAAGGUGUCUUGGUUUUGCAUUUCAGUUAUGUCUUGUAAAAUAGUAGUUUGAAAUUAAUGAAAUGGCAAUGAAUAUGAUGUUUUUCUUUUUGGUUC